ACCUGGGUGGCUCAGUCGGUUGAGCGUCUGACUUUGGCUCAGGUCAUGAUCUCAUGGUUUGUGAGUUCGAGCCCCGCAUCGGGCU
rnacentral:tRNA from 1 species